UACUCAAGGCUCCUCCCAGGUGGCGGAGGAGAGCCCGGAGCUGCUGAACCCUGAGCCCAGGAGACUGAGCCCAGCUCCCGGCGAUGUUGAAAGUACGGGACCCGCGGCCCUGGCUCCUCUUCCUGCUGCACAACGUGGGCCUGCUGGGCGGCUGGACCGUCCUGCUGCUGCUGUCCCUGUACGAGGAUGACAUCACCUUCUGAUACCCUGCCCUAGUCCCCCACCUUUGACUUAAGAUCCCACACCUCACAAACCUACAGCCCAGAAACCAGAAGCCCCUAUAGAGGCCCCAGUCCCAACUCCAGUAAAGACACUCUUGUCCUUGG
rnacentral:lncRNA from 1 species